rnacentral:rRNA from 1 species
UACAGAGGUCCCAAGCGUUGUUCGGAUUCAUUGGGCGUAAAGGGUGCGUAGGUGGCGCGCUAAGUCAGGUGUGAAAUUUCGGAGCUUAACUCCGAAACUGCAUUUGAUACUGGCGUGCUUGAGGACUGGAGAGGAGACUGGAAUUUACGGUGUAGCAGUGAAAUGCGUAGAGAUCGUGAAGGAAGACCAGUGGCGAAGGCGGGUCUCGUGGACAGUUCCUGACACUGAGGCACGAAGGCCAGGGGGAGCAAACGGG